AAGAAAAGAAGGAAGGAAGGAAGGAAGAGGGGAGUAUCCACUACAUAAAACACAGGAAAAUUUCCUUCCAUUUGUCUUCUGUUAGAUGGAUGCUUUCCUGCUCCCUCAGUCCUGUCAUCCCCAAAAUGCACUGGAGUAAGGGUUAAUCAAUAAUAGUACACAUCCUGAAGAGAGCUGGGACAACUCAGCCUGCCAUUUGCAAGCAGUUUUCACAGUAGAUAAAUGUUCCCUUGGAUAUUCAGGCAAAUCCUUGUAAUCCUGGGAAUGUGGUCCUUAAGGAUCUGGGCUGACUCUGUGACUUCCUUCCACCGAGAGACUGAGGCAGGCUUCCAAGCAUUGACUUUAAGCAUCCUUGAAGCUUUCAUUCUGAUUUUCUUGGAAUGCUGCCGCCAUCCAGUGAAUUAUCUCCAGUUUGCCAUCUAGUGACUCAUGGCCCAGCUUCCAUCCAGAGACCACCACCAAACAUACAAUGGGGGCUACCUGGAUCAUUCAGCCUCACUUAAAGCACGGGAUAACUUAAGAUGGCUGAAGGACCCCAGA